UCCUCAACGCCACUUCUUCAAUUCCUCAACCCUCCCCCUGAUCCUUCUUCCUAGCGUGCUUAACCACUUAUCAUCAAGCAAUUCAUCUUCUUUCUGCCAAUCUCCCUCAAGAUUCCUCCCUUCAACAGUCUCACACUAGGCCCUCAAUGUUGAAAAGAGAACCGUCGUCCUCUCCUGUCGUUAAGAUUCAGAGAUUCAAGAGCGGAAAGGAGGAUAAGUUAGGGUUUAUCUGAUCAUCAACAUCUUGAGGAUCUAUUUUCACUCUCUCAAUCAUCUGUCGUAAGUUCGCCAAUUCAGCUAUUAAAUCUCACUGUCGAUUUUGCUUCAAUUUUUUUUUUUUUUUUAAUUCUUCUUUCGAAAUACAACUUAGGGUUUGCUUUUUUCUGUAAUGUAAACUAAUUUUGCUAUUAUGAAACAUUUCUUCAAACAGCUAGCAUUCUUUCUCUUACUUUUAUUUAUGUUUGAACGCUGUUAGCUUUUGUUAUAUUAUGCCAUGCCUUAGCUUUUGAGACUCCUAGGUGAGUAGUAAUACCUUAUAUAAGGAGAACGAAGAACCUGCACAAGAUGUGCCAGUUUCUUCUCAUAAUGAAGGAUAAAAUUCCAUCAAUCCACGAGUUGAAGCUCCUCGCCUUUGUACCUUUGGCCGUGGAAGCGACUAACCCUAUUCUCCCUGAGGAUCAACAUCCUCUAAAUGGUACCAACACAGCUACUGAUGCUAACAACUUUGAAAAAGAGUCCACUUCACAUGAAGAAUUAUCGACCUCUGUUGCUUUAGGGGCCACCGGAGGAUCAGAUAAGCCUGAUAUUCAACUGCUUCAUGUUGUUGUCAAAGCUUAGUCCAAUGAAGCUCCUCGUGAUAAACCCCAAGAUCAAGUUAAUGAAGUUCCUGAUGCAAAAACCCUAGCUCAAGCCAAUGAAGUUCCUGAUGCUAAAACCGAAGUUGAAACCAAUGAAGUUCCUGUUACUGUAACCCUAGUUGAAACUAAUGAAAUUCCUGAUAGUAUCAACGCCGUUUCCACAAACUCUGAACCCCCAAACAACACCGUUUCCACUAGUUCUGAGCCCCCUAAAAGCACCAUUUCCAUUCAUUCUCAACUCCCUGUCAACUCUGUUUCCUCAAAUUCGGAGACCCCUGCAAAUCCUGAGGCUGAACCUUCUUCCCAGGCACCGCAAACUAAAUUUGAACCUGCUACUCCCAAGCCUGAUGUGGUUUCUGCUGACAUAAAACCUGAUAAUGCAAAUAGCACAGAAAUCAAAAGUGAAGUCAAGAAAAUAGAGUUGUCUACACCCACAGCAAAUCAAAACUCCAACUCGACAUAUUCAUUUCUCUUAGAUGAAAAUUAUGAGGGUAGUGAAUCAGGGACCGAGGAGGAGCAACCUGCAUUCAUGAAGGAACUUGAAAAAAUUUUUAGGGAGAGGAGCAUGGAAUUGAAGCCUCCUAAGUUCUAUGGAGAGGGAUUGAGUUGUCUUAAGUUGUGGAGAGCUGUGACUAGGUUGGGUGGCUAGGACAAGCUUUUGUAGGCGAAAACGCCCCAGUCAAUGACUUGGGUUGUGAUGACAGGAGCUUAUUUUCUGAACAACCCGAUGUAUUUUUCGAGGGUAUUGCCUUUUUUCAGGUGAUCUAUGAUGGAGAAGAGUCCUUGAACAAGUUUCUUAGCCUAUCGCUUCAAGAAAAGGUACACUCUGUAAUAUUUAAGAUACACGCCAGAGUUCCAACUGACCAAGAAAACGUUCCCUCAGUUUGGAAGGUUUUUCUUGGUUGUGCUGGAAAAACCAAGAAAAUCCUGCCAACGGAGGGAACGUUUUCUUGGUUUAAGUUUACUAUCGGUUCAAGAAAAGGUAAUGCACGCCACUUUCUGAGCAUAGACCACACCGGAGUUCCAACUGACUGAGAAAUCCAAGAGAAAGUUCCCUCAGUCGGAAGGUUAUUCUUGGUUUUCUUGGUUGUGCCGGAAAAACCUUCUAACGGAGGGAACGUUUUCUUGGUUUAAGUUUAUGGAGACCGUUUGGUGGGUGUUUGCGCAGCUUUACCUAAGGUCAUGUCAUGCAGUACUGGCGGUAAGACACCCCUGUCUAACUUUGAAGCUGGUCAGAACUAUAAGGAUCGCCUGAUAAAUGAUGAAUAUCAUAUUAUGGAUUCGGGAAUAACACAAAGUUCAAAUCUGCCACUACAGGGCAAUGUUGGUUACUUCCAAAAUAUUAAGUGGACAAAAUGUAGUAAAGGUGGGAGGGUUGAGAACAUUCGCCCUGGUCGUAUCAGCAGAUUAAGAAAAAGACGUGACAAGAAGGACGAUGAUGAUGACGGUGAGGACAAUCGGCAGCCAUCAGACCCUCAUGCUCUUUAUAUUAUCUUUUUAAUAGCUAUCAUGCUUAUGUUGUUUCUGAUCAUUCUUUCCUUGAUUAUCUGGCUUAUGAGAUAAUUAGACGAUUCUCUACGCAUGUACUUAGGAAAAACAAACUGUUGCUUUUGAGUUUGAUCGUUUUUAGUGUUGUUUUUACUUGCUUAAAAAAAGCUUAAUCUUGUUUGUGCUUGGUGAAAAUUAACAUAGGGCUGGCGGCUGUCAGACUCAUUUUAUUUUCUUUCA